GAUGAACGCUGGCGGCGUGCUUAACACAUGCAAGUCGAACGGAAAGGCCCAAGCUUGCUUGGGUACUCGAGUGGCGAACGGGUGAGUAACACGUGGGUGAUCUGCCCUGCACUUCGGGAUAAGCCUGGGAAACUGGGUCUAAUACCGGAUAGGACCACAUUUUGGAUGGUGUGGUGGAAAGUUUUUCGGUGUGGGAUGAGCUCGCGGCCUAUCAGCUUGUUGGUGGGGUAAUGGCCUACCAAGGCGUCGACGGGUAGCCGGCCUGAGAGGGUGUACGGCCACAUUGGGACUGAGAUACGGCCCAGACUCCUACGGGAGGCAGCAGUGGGGAAUAUUGCACAAUGGGCGCAAGCCUGAUGCAGCGACGCCGCGUGGGGGAUGACGGCCUUCGGGUUGUAAACUCCUUGCGCUAGGGACGAAGCGCAAGUGACGGUACCUGGAGAAGAAGCACCGGCUAGCUACGUG
rnacentral:rRNA from 1 species